AAACUAGGAUUAGAUACCCUAUUAUUUUUAUUAAGAUAAUUUUUAAUUUAAAUAUUAAAUGUGAAGCAUUAAAGAUAAAAAAUUUGGCGGUAUUUAAUAUUUAGAGGAACUUGUUUAUUAAUUUGAUAAUCCACGAAUGGAGGGACUUAAUUUUAUAAUUUUUAUGUAUUGUUGUUGAAAAAUUAUAUUAAAAGAUAUUAGUUAAGAAAUUUAAUUAAAUUAUAAUUCAAAUCAAAAUGUAGAAUAAUUAAGAUUAAAAUGAGUUACAAUUAGUUUAAAAAUUGGAUUUUUAAAAGAAAUUUAAUUUAAUUUAAAGAUGAAAAUGGAUUUAAGAGUAAAUUUAUAAAAAUUUAUAAGUGAAUAAAAAUUUUAU
rnacentral:rRNA from 1 species